UCCCCGUUAUCCGAGGCGGUUUCGCUAGAGUGCCCGACUUGACUCGCUGGCAACUAACGAUAAGGGUUGCGCUCGUUGCGGGACUUAACCCAACAUCUCACGGCACGAGCUGACGACGGCCAUGCAGCACCUGAACCGGCAGUCCCCGAAGGGAAAAUCCUAUUUCUAGGACGGUCCGCCGUUGUCUAGCCCAGGUAAGGUUCUUCGCGUUGCGUCGAAUUGAACCACAUGCUCCACCGCUUGUGCGGGCCCCCGUCAAUUCCUUUGAGUUUUAAUCUUGCGACCGUACUCCCCAGGCGGGGCACUUAAUGCGUUAGCUGCGGCACCCAGGGGGUCAACACCCACGACACCUAGUUCUCAUCGUUUACGGCGUGGACUAC
rnacentral:misc_RNA from 1 species